rnacentral:rRNA from 1 species
AGGACGAACGCUGGCGGCGUGCUUAACACAUGCAAGUCGAGCGGAAAGGCCCUUCGGGGUACUCGAGCGGCGAACGGGUGAGUAACACGUGAGUAAUCUGCCCCUAGCUCUGGGAUAGCUCCGGGAAACCGGGAUUAAUACCGGAUACGACCACCUUAGACAUCUUUUGUGGUGGAAAGAAUUUCGGCUAGGGAUGAGCUCGCGGCCUAUCAGCUUGUUGGUGGGGUAAUGGCCUACCAAGGCGACGACGGGUAGCCGGCCUGAGAGGGCGACCGGCCACACUGGGACUGAGGCACGGCCCAGACUCCUACGGGAGGCAGCAGUGGGGAAUAUUGCGCAAUGGGCGAAAGCCUGACGCAGCGACGCCGCGUGGGGGAUGAAGGCCUUCGGGUUGUAAACCCUUUCAGCAGGGACGAAGCGAAAGUGACGGUACCUGCAGAAGAAGCGCCGGCUAACUACGCGCCAGCAGCCGC